ensembl:lncRNA
UUUGAAGUGAACGAUGCGAGCCGGCUCCUUAUUGGGAGCCGUGGGUUUUUUUUCUUUCUUUCUCUCUUUCUUCUUCCCCUCUCUUUCACUUUUUUUUCGCUUCACGCAGCAAGUCACCCUUGUGUUUGCGCUGAGCAGAGACGGCAAACAGAGCCUUGCGUUUGCGCCCCUCCCCCCUCUGCUCAGCGCUGAGCUGAGGGGGCAGGGCGGUAGUUACACUUGCAACAGCCGUAGCACACAACAAGAGCAGGAGGGAGAGGGAAAGAAAGACAGCCGGGAACAAGAGACAACAUCGUCACAUUGGAAAGGUGAUCCAGGUGAUUGAUAGAUGCAUUUUUUUUCUGCCCAUUCUGUUGGUUUUUGUCUUUUGCCCUUUUCCCCCGUCCCUCUUCUCAGCUGUUUCUCUUUCCCUCUUUCUUUCUCCCCUUCUUUCCCCCAGUCAAGUCUGUCCCGUAUUCAGUAAGUGAAAAUAAAAUAAACAAUAAAAGGUGAAUCCAAUGGACCAUUACGGCAAGGCUGGGAUGGUCAAUUUGGUAAAGUAAAUCCGUUGGGCAUCUUUCUUUGCCUUUAGACAAUAAUUCUGAUGGCAAAAGAGCCAAACGGGACAGGCAAAAGAAAAAAAAAAAAAGAAAUAAAAGCAUUUCCCACACCAAAAAAAAAAAAAAAAGAUAUUAUUGUUAAUAAUAAAUUAAUUAAAGCAACAAAACAACCUGAAGAGCUGGAAAUCCCAUCACUAUUACAGAGACACAGAUGCUCAGUUUUAAUAAACUAAGAAAGUGUGAUCUCAGGGGAUUAUGAACAACAAAUGUGUCAUCAGUACAAAAGCAACUGUUUACACAAUCCUUCUCAUGUGUCACUCUGAAUAUAUUACAUAACCAAGCAUUUCAUUGCACAAGAUAUUUCUCUUAAACUUAAACGUGGUGUCUCCAGACAGAGACUGAAUCACUGCACUCUGACAUGCAAGCCCUAACAAUGGGACACCAAAGGACUUCUCAAUACACCAAAGUACAGGGUGGGCCAUUUAUAUGGAUACACCAUAAUAACAUGGGAAUGGUUGGUGAUAUUAAAGUCCUGUUUGUGGCACAUUAGUAUAUGUGAGGGGGCAAACUCCUCAAGAUGGGUGGUGACCCUGGUGGCCAUUUAGAAGUCGGCCAUCUUGGAUACAACUUUUGUUUUUUCAAUAGGAAGAGGGCCAUGUGACACAUCAAACUUAUUGGUAAUGUCACAAGAAAAACAAUGGUGUGCUUGGUUUCAACGUAACUUUAUGGGACUCCGACAGCACAGUCGCACUGGUGUUCAGCACAAGAUACCUACGGUGUUCAAGAGGAACUACCAUGGCUGCAGAGCCUGAAAAGCAGAACGACUGAAGAUGAAAAGAUUUUGUCCUGCUUUCCCAUCAGUAGUGACUGGUAACAUCAGAUCACUGGUAAAUAAGAUGGACGAGAUUGCGAUGCUAACAAGGACAGAGAAAGUUUUCAGAGAAUGCUGUGUUAUGUAUUUCACGGAGACAUUGCUGCAUAAAAACAACCCGGAUCAGGUGGUGGAUCUAAACGGAUUUACGUGGGUGAGAGCAGACAGGGACCCUGGCAGCAGGGCAGCUUUAUGUCUACAACCAUUGAUGUUCCCCCAGUAAGGUUAAGGCGUAUGACAUCAUCAGCUCUGCAACAGUGGACCUCCUGAAUCGAAGCCCGUCCACGUUUGUGGCGGUAACGGACGAUUUUUACCACACAACCCUCUCCACUGUUCUAUCUACGUUCAAGCAAUAUGUGGACUGCAAAACAAGAGACAAUAAAACAAUACACAAUACACCAGGAAAAAGAGCUUUCAGAAACAGUAUCAAAGAACAGUUGAAACUGGUGCAGAAGGAGCUGAAUGCCAAGAUUGCAGAGGGAAAAGAGUCCUACAGAAGGAAGCUGGAAAGCAAACUGCAAGAAAACAAUACCAGGAAGGUGUGGAAUGGAAUGCGGGCCAUUACUGGCCUGAGACAAAAGAGAGGUGUUGGGAUGGUUGGGGAAGUCUCCUGCCCCCUCAGCAGAUGACAUCAAAAGGGAACUGUGCAGACUCCACUCUAGUAAAGCUGCUGGCCCUGAUGGUGUCAGUCCACGGGCCCUCAGGUGUUGUGCUGCCCAGCUGUCUGAAUUUCUACGGAUCUUUAACGUUAAUGUGAAACUGUAGCCCCAUCACUCUGGAAGACAUGCUGCCUGGUUCCUUUCCCCAAAAACAUCAACCCGUUGAUCCCCAGUGACUAAAGGCCAGUGGCUCUGACUUCACACGUCAUGAAGACGAUCGAGAGACUCAUCCUGAAACACCUGCAUCUGGGAGUGGAGCCUUGGCUUGCCCCUACAGUUUGCUUAUUGACCCCGUAUCGGUGUGGAAGAUGCCAUCAUCUACCUGCUGAACCAGGCUUAUUCUCACCUGGACAUUGUUGGGAGCACUGUGAGGGUCAUGUUCUUUGACUUCUCUCGUGCUUAUAACACAUUCUGAUCAUCACUGCUGAGGAAUAAGCUCACGGAAAUGCAGGUGGAUGGCCCACUGGUAGCUUGGAUUACAGACUAUUUAACAAAUCGACCACAGCACAACAUCCUGAGCGGCAAGGGGGCACCCCAGGGGACUGCCCUAUCACCCUUCCUCUUCACCCUCUACACGUCUGAUUUCAGGUACAAGUCUCAGUCAUGUCAUCUACAGAAAUUCUCUGAUGACUCUGCCGUUGUGGGCUGUAUCAGGGAUGGUGGUGGACAGCUUUGUUGAGUGGUGAGUUAAACCAUUUACAAUUUAACAUCACAAAGACAAAGGAACUGAUCAUGAACUUUAGGAAGCAUGCUCCUCCUCCUACCCCUGUCACCAUCAGAGGAGUUGUCGUGGACGUUGCAGAGGACUACGGUACCUGGGCACAAUGACUGUCAACUAGACUGCAACAUGUGAUGUUUUUUCCUGACCUGUUGGGGGAGGUUCAGAAACAGCGGAAACCAGGUAAAACAGCAGCUCCUUGAACUAAAAAUAAAAUUUGGACCGAUCUUCUCAGGAACGAUGAGGAUUUUCCCUCAACAGGCAUCUGUUCCACACACCAGCGGAGGUGGAAGAAUUCAUACGGAGAAACGGACAACAAAAUGACAGAUAAACUCACAUUGACUCCAGGUUAUUGCAACAUCUGAAAGGUGCAGUUUUGAUGAAUGAUCUCACUUCAGAGCAAACAAUAUGCUGUGGCCAUAGAUGUACAGUUAUAAUACAGGCGGCCUUAGACACGUUACAUUCAACUAAUUUUAUUCUGAUAAAUGUUAGUUAGCCACUGUUUUCAGUUAAUAUGAUUGGAGUGAAGUUUAAACCUUUAAGUCAACAACAGGAUGUUUUUUCUGCUCCUUGUAACAGACCAGCAGUGUAACCAAGUUGUAAUGAGGACGGGAGGGAGAAAUACAAGAUUUCCACAUGUUGGAAAGCCUAGGAUUGUUUUUUUGUUUAUAAGAGUUCAUUGUUUUCAAGGUGCAGUGUUUUUCUAGUUGUAAUUUCAAGCUCUUAGAGUUAAGAUAAAAAGCAGUCAGGGUUAAGUUACAUGGGGCAUAAACUGAAUGAGUAGUGACUCCAAUCUUGAACUAAUCUCCUGGAAUGUAAGAGGCCUUAGGAAAUUAAGUAAUGAAUAGACUCAAACAAUAUCACCCACUCACAUGUAGGUGUGUUUAUUCAAAAAACACACCUACAUGUGAGUGAAAUCACUCGGCCUAGGUGUUUUCAGGCUCCUUCUCUUUACACAAUACUUAUUCAUGAAUCCUUAUGUGUAUAAAAUCAAUUAAGCAAAGUUCACCAAAACAACACAAUCUAUUGAUCGUUACAGGUAAAAUACAGCAUUGCCAAAUCAUGGAAAUCCAUUACCAGACCACAUCUGAAAGCCUGUUUGUCUAUGUUGUCCUUACUUUUAUGAUUAUUGGUACUCUGCCUUUGAAAAGAUGUGGGGAAACCUUUUGUUGUUUUUGAAAUAUAAAGAAAUGAUGAACAAACGUAAUCAUGGUCAUUUCAUUUAUAUGGGAGAUGUAUUUUUGGUAUUUCUAUGGAAAACUCAAGGAACCCACAUACACAUGAUUGCUUAAUAAAAAGUAAGAAAUGGACUUCUUGACAUUAAACUACCCAAGAUUGACGAGGAGACUGUUUAUUACUGCAGUCAAAUUAGCUGAUCUACUCUGAAUGUUUUGACUAAAUUUGUUGCUCUGAUGUUACAGUUUUAAAACAUAUUGCCUCAGUGCAUUUUACCUGUCUAUUUGGCACCUUGUGUGUAUGUAUAUAUCCAUAUAUGGUUAAAGCAAAUCCAUAAACACAUUUUUGGAAUUUAAAAAAAAGUGAGAGUGAACAAAUGUUUUGGCCGUCGUAGCUACAUUACCUUAGCUCAGAUAUUUGCCAGGCAUUCAAUCUAACUGCCUCUCACUCAGUUGGUCGCAGUGUUGGCAGUAAAAGGACAUUUUGUUAUUGUAAAGUAAGGCAGCACAACAACAAAAUUACUUUAGCAUGUGCAAGACAUACUCCACUAUAUUACAUGGAUUAUAAAAGUAUUAUAUUGCACAAGAUAGAAAUACUAUAUAUAACAUAGCUUAGCUGUAAAAUAUAUAAAUACCCUGAAACAAAAUAUUUUGGCAGUGUAU